GGGUGGUUACUGGAUUUAGCUAGCGUGGGCUCCUUUUCGUCCGUGCUCUCUGGUUAAAUCCAGUGCCAUCGCGCUUCUUGUGAGUCCCAGCGAGAGAAUGCGAAGGGGCGAGGCAGGACCAAAGUUGAGGCGAAUCCAGUGGCAUGCCGAUGGGUCUCCAGCUGGCAAGAAUGAGUCAGACAUUUCCAAGCAAGAUUGUUUUUUUUCCCUUUUUGUUUACUUUAUCCAGACUCUAGCCAAAAAGAUUCAUCUCAAGGAAUUAUAUUCUUGGAGAUGUUGGGAAAAGAUUCCUGGGUCUUGGAAGAUAAUUACUAGAAAUAUGCAGGGGAGGAAUAAAAUUGAAGGGUGUUUUUCUUAGAGAACACCAUUUGUCCGAUUUAUCAGGAAUUCAAAGAUUUAUAUAAGGAACAGAAAGCCGCUGAUGGUUGAAAUGGAGCAUUUACUUCUUUGGAUUGAGGACUGUAAUCAAAAACAAAUCCCAGUCAGUUUGGCAUUGAAGUUAGUUGCUGCAUUGAAGGAAAAUGGUAAUUACAAGGACAUCUAUUUACUGCCAGUGAAGGCUGGUUUCAUUGUUUCAGAAGUCAACAUGAAUUGA